GACGAACGCUGGCGGCGUGCUUAACACAUGCAAGUCGAACGCUGAAGCCCAGCUUGCUGGGUGGAUGAGUGGCGAACGGGUGAGUAACACGUGAGUAACCUGCCCCCUCUUUGGGAUAACGCCCGGAAACGGGUGCUAAUACUGGAUAUUCACUGAUCUUCGCAUGGGGGUUGGUGGAAAGGUUUUUUCUGGUGGGGGAUGGGCUCGCGGCCUAUCAGCUUGUUGGUGGGGUGAUGGCCUACCAAGGCUUUGACGGGUAGCCGGCCUGAGAGGGUGACCGGUCACAUUGGGACUGAGAUACGGCCCAGACUCCUACGGGAGGCAGCAGUGGGGAAUAUUGCACAAUGGGCGAAAGCCUGAUGCAGCGACGCCGCGUGAGGGAUGACGGCCUUCGGGUUGUAAACCUCUUUCGCUCAUGGUCAAGCCGCAGCUUUGGGUUGUGGUGAGGGUAGUGGGUAAAGAAGCGCCGGCUAACUACGUGCCAGCAGCCGCGGUAAUACGUAGGGCGCGAGCGUUGUCCGGAAUUAUUGGGCGUAAAGGGCUUGUAGGCGGUUGGUCGCGUCUGCCGUGAAAUCCUCUGGCUUAACUGGGGGCGUGCGGUGGGUACGGGCUGACUUGAGUGCGGUAGGGGAGACUGGAACUCCUGGUGUAGCGGUGGAAUGCGCAGAUAUCAGGAAGAACACCGGUGGCGAAGGCGGGUCUCUGGGCCGUUACUGACGCUGAGGAGCGAAAGCGUGGAGUGCGAACAGG
rnacentral:rRNA from 1 species